rnacentral:rRNA from 1 species
UACGGAAGGCAGCAGUGGGGAAUAUUGCACAAUGGGCGCAAGCCUGAUGCAGCCAUGCCGCGUGUAUGAAGAAGGCCUUCGGGUUGUAAAGUACUUUCAGUCGUGAGGAAGGUGUUAAGGUUAAUAACCUUAGCAAUUGACGUUAGCGACAGAAGAAGCACCGGCUAACUCCGUGCCAGCAGCCGCGGUAAUACGGAGGGUGCGAGCGUUAAUCGGAAUUACUGGGCGUAAAGGGCACGCAGGCGGUUAAUUAAGUUGGAUGUGAAAUCCCCGGGCUUAACCUGGGAAUGGCAUUCAAGACUGGUUAGCUAGAGUCUUGUAGAGGGGGUAGAAUUCCAUGUGUAGCGGUGAAAUGCGUAGAGAUGUGGAGGAAUACCGGUGGCGAAGGCGGCCCCUGGACAAAGGCUGACGCUCGAUGUGCGAAAGCGGGGGAGCGAAACAGGGAUUAGAUACC